rnacentral:rRNA from 1 species
CUACGGGACGCUCCAGUAGGGAAUAUUGGACAAUGGGCGAAAGCCUGAUCCAGCAACACCGCGUGCACGAUGACGGCCUUCGGGUUGUAAAGUGCUUUUAGAGGAGAUGAGAAAGGACAGUAUCCUCUGAAUAAGCCUCGGCGAACUACGUGCCAGCAGCCGCGGUGAAACGUAGGAGGCAAGCGUUAUCCGGAUUUAUUGGGCGUAAAGCGCGUGCAGGCGGUCUAGCAAGUUGGAUGUGAAAGCUCCCGGCUCAACUGGGAGAGGUCGUUCAAUACUGUUAGACUAGAGAAUAGGAGAGGGAGGUGGAAUUCCGGGUGUAGUGGUGAUAUGCGUAGAUAUCCGGAGGAACACCAGUGGCGAAAGCGGCCUCCUGGACUAUUUCUGACGCUAAGACGCGAAAGCUAGGGUAGCAAACGGGAUUAGAUACCCGCGUAGUC